GACGAACGCUGGCGGCGUGCCUAAUACGUGCAAGUCGAGCGGACAGAAGGGAGCUUGCUCCCGGAAGUUAGCGGCGGACGGGUGAGUAACACGUGGGCAACCUACCCUGUAGAUCGGGAUAACAUCGAGAAAUCGGUGCUAAUACCGGAUAAUCAUUUGAAGUGCAUGCUUCGAAUGUAAAAGAUGGCUCCGGCUAUCACUACGGGAUGGGCCCGCGGCGCAUUAGCUAGUUGGUAAGGUAAUGGCUUACCAAGGCAACGAUGCGUAGCCGACCUGAGAGGGUGAUCGGCCACACUGGGACUGAGACACGGCCCAGACUCCUACGGGAGGCAGCAGUAGGGAAUCUUCCGCAAUGGACGAAAGUCUGACGGAGCAACGCCGCGUGAGUGAUGAAGGUUUUCGGAUCGUAAAGCUCUGUUGCUAGGGAAGAACAAGUGCCGUUUGAAUAAGGCGGCACCUUGACGGUACCUAACCAGAAAGCCACGGCUAACUACGUGCCAGCCGCCGCAGUAACAC
rnacentral:rRNA from 1 species